GGGGUUGUAGCUCAAUGGUAGAGCACUCGCCUCGAACGUGCGAAGCCCUGAGUUUGAUCCUCAGCACCA
rnacentral:tRNA from 1 species